AGAGUUUGAUUCUGGCUCAGAACGAACGCUGGCAGCGUGGAUGAGGCAUGCAAGUCGAACGAUAAUUCGGGUGUAGCAAUACAUCCGGAGGACAGUGGCGAAAGGGUGCGUAACGCGUGGGCAAUCUGCCUCUAAGUUGGGGAUAACCCCGCGAAAGCGGGACUAAUACCGAAUGUGAUGGUGCCGUCAAUGCGGCAUUGAUCAAAGGCGGGGACCUUCGGGCCUGUCGCUUAGAGAGGAGCCCGCAUCCUAUCAGCUUGUUGGUAGGGUAACGGCCUACCAAGGCUUACGGGUAGCUGGUCUGAGAGGAUGGUCAGCCACACUGGGACUGAGACACUGCCCAGACUCCUACGGGAGGCUGCAGUCGAGGAUCAUUUGCAAUGGGCGCAAGCCCGACAAUGCGACGCUUCGUGGAGGAUGAAGGCCUUCGGGUUGUAAACUCCUGUCAUGCGGGAACAAGGAACCGGCGCCAAUAUCGCCGGAACUUGAUGGUACCGCAAGAGGAAGCCACGGCUAACUCUGUGCCAGCAGCCGCGGUAAUACAGAGGUGGCAAGCGUUGUUCGGAUUUACUGGGCGUAAAGGGCGCGUAGGCGGUUCCGCGUGUCGGAUGUGAAAUCCCACCGCUCAACGGUGGAACGGCAUUCGAAACUGCGGUGCUAGAGUGCAGGAUAGGAGAGCGGAAUUCUCGGUGUAGCGGUGAAAUGCGUUGAUAUCGAGAAGAACACCGGUGGCGAAGGCGGCUCUCUGGAAUGCAACUGACGCUGAGGCACGAAAGUUGGGGGAGCAAACAGGAUUAGAUACCCUGGUAGUCCCAACCUUAAACGGUGUACACUUGGUGUGGGGAGAUUAGACCCUCUCCGUGCCGGAGCUAACGCAUUAAGUGUACCGCCUGGGGAGUACGGUCGCAAGAUUAAAACUCAAAGAAAUUGACGGGGGCCCGCACAAGCGGAGGAGCAUGUGGCUUAAUUCGAUCCACGCGAAGAACCUUACCAGGGCUUGACAUGCAGCUGCACGACCAGUGAAAGCUGGUUUCCUUCGAGGGUGCUGCACAGGUGCUGCAUGGCUGUCGUCAGUUCGUGCCGUGAGGUGUUGGGUUGAGUCCCGCAACGAACUCAACCCCUGUGUUUAGUUGCCACCGCAGGUGAUGAGCCUGCGAGCACUCUAAACAGACUGCCCGUGAUAAGCGGGAGGAAGGUGGGGAUGACGUCAAGUCAGUAUGGCCUUUAUGCCCUGGGCUGCACACGUGCUACAAUGGUCGGUACAGAGGGAAGCGAAACCGCGAGGCGGAGCAAAUCCUCGAAAACCGGCCCCAGUUCAGAUUGAAGGCUGCAACUCGCCUUCAUGAAGUUGGAUUCGCUAGUAAUGGCGCAUCAGCUACGGCGCCGUGAAUACGUUCCCGGGCCUUGUACACACCGCCCGUCACAUCAUGAAAGCCGUCUGCACCCAACGUCGCUGUACCAACCCGCAAGGGGGGAAGGUGCCUAAGGUGUGGGUGGUGAUUGGGAUGAAGUCGUAACAAGGUA
rnacentral:rRNA from 1 species